rnacentral:rRNA from 1 species
GAUGAACGCUGGCGGCGUGCCUAAUACAUGCAAGUCGAGCGAACAGACGAGGAGCUUGCUCCUCUGACGUUAGCGGCGGACGGGUGAGUAACACGUGGAUAACCUACCUAUAAGACUGGGAUAACUUCGGGAAACCGGAGCUAAUACCAGAUAAUAUAUUGAACCGCAUGGUUCAAUAGUGAAAGACGGUUUUGCUGUCACUUAUAGAUGGAUCCGCGCCGCAUUAGCUAGUUGGUAAGGUAACGGCUUACCAAGGCAACGAUGCGUAGCCGACCUGAGAGGGUGAUCGGCCACACUGGAACUGAGACACGGUCCAGACUCCUACGGGAGGCAGCAGUAGGGAAUCUUCCGCAAAGGGCGAAAGCCUGACGGAGCAACGCCGCGUGAGUGAUGAAGGUCUUCGGAUCGUAAAACUCUGUUAUUAGGGAAGAACAAAUGUGUAAGUAACUAUGCACGUCUUGACGGUACCUAAUCAGAAAGCCACGGCUAACUACGUG